rnacentral:rRNA from 2 species
GACGGAGGAUGCAAGUGUUAUCCGGAAUCACUGGGCGUAAAGCGUCUGUAGGUGGUUUAAAAAGUCCACUGUUAAAGGUUGAAGCUUAACUUCAAAAAUGCUGUGGAAACUUUUAAACUAGAGUAUGGUAGGGGUAGAGGGAAUUUCCAGUGGAGCGGUGGAAUGCGUAGAUAUUGGAAAGACCACCAAUGGCGAAGGCACUCUACUGGGCCAUUACUGACACUGAGAGACGAAAGCUAGGGGAGCGAAUGGG